rnacentral:rRNA from 1 species
UACGAAGGGUGCAAGCGUUACUCGGAAUUACUGGGCGUAAAGGGUGCGUAGGCGGUUCGUUAAGUCUGUCGUGAAAUCCCCGGGCUCAACCUGGGAAUGGCGAUGGAUACUGGGCAGCUAGAGUGUGUCAGAGGAUGGUGGAAUUCCCGGUGUAGCGGUGAAAUGCGUAGAGAUCGGGAGGAACAUCAGUGGCGAAGGCGGCCAUCUGGGACAACACUGACGCUGAAGCACGAAAGCGUGGGGAGCAAACAGG